AGUGGCGUACGGGAGAGUAACACGUAAGUAAUCUACCCUCGGGUGGGGAAUAACUUAAGGAAACUUAAGCUAAUACCGCAUAAUGCAGCGGCUCCAUAUGGAGACAGUUGUUAAAGCAUUUAUGCGCCUGGGGAGGAGCUUGCGGCAGAUUAGCUAGUUGGUAAGGUAAUGGUUUACCAAGGCAACGAUCUGUAGCCGGUCUAAGAGGACGGUCGGUCUCACUGACACUGAAUAACGGGUCAG
rnacentral:rRNA from 1 species